rnacentral:rRNA from 1 species
UACGAAGGGGGCUAGCGAUGCUCGGAUUGACUGGGCGUAAAGGGCGCGUAGGCGGAUAGUACAGUCAGGCGUGAAAUUCCUGGGCUCAACCUGGGGGCUGCGUUUGAUACGUAUUGUCUGGAGUUCGGAAGAGGGUCGUGGAAUUCCCAGUGUAGAGGUGAAAUUCGUAGAUAUUGGGAAGAACACCGGUGGCGAAGGCGGCGACCUGGUCCGAUACUGACGCUGAGGCGCGAAAGCGUGGGGAGCAAACAGG